GAUGAAGAACGCAGCGAAAUGCGAUAAGUAAUGCGAAUUGCAGAAUUUCCGUGAGUCAUCGAAUCUUUGAACGCACAUUGCGCCCUUCGGUAUUCCGUUGGGCAUGCCUGUUCGAGCGUCAUUUAAACCUUCAAGCUAUGCUUGGUGUUGGGUGUUUGUUCCGCCUCUGCGCGUGGACUCGCCUCAAAUUCAUUGGCAGCCGGUAUGUUGGCUUCGUGCGCAGCACAUUGCAAGCGACUUCAACAGACCUCCUUCCAUAAGCCUUUUUUUUACUUUGACCUCGGAUCAGGUAGGGAUACCCGCUGAACUUAAGCAUAUCAAUAAGCGGAGGA
rnacentral:misc_RNA from 1 species